UACGUAGGGCGCAAGCGUUGUCCGGAAUUAUUGGGCGUAAAGAGCUCGUAGGCGGUCUGUUGCGUCGGCUGUGAAAACCCGAGGCUCAACCUCGGGCCUGCAGCCGAUACGGGCAGACUAGAGUUCGGCAGGGGAGACUGGAAUUCCUGGUGUAGCGGUGAAAUGCGCAGAUAUUAGGAAGAACACCAGUGGCGAAGGCGGCUCACUGGUCCGGUACUGACGCUGAUGUGCGAAAGCGUGGGGAGCAAACAGG
rnacentral:rRNA from 1 species